rnacentral:misc_RNA from 1 species
CUGCUGCUCUUUUUAGAAGGUUUGCGUUAUGAGAAAAGGGUAAAACGGUGUGUUGAGCUCAAAUUGUGGAAUAGGUGAAAGUUGUUGCUAAGUUGCAUAGUUGUUGGAGCGGAUUGCGCAAAAGAUGACACGUCUUCAGAAAAUAUUGGAGAGGCUUAAAGAGUAGUUAGCAUGAGUAGUUAGUGAAUUGUAUUCUAUUACUUGUAUAGUCAAUAUAAACUGUUGUAAUGUUGUUUUGAGGAUAUACUGUGAAUGAUACAAUUCUGAUUGGGAUUGUUGGUCCCAAAUUCCUUUUCUGUGUAUCAAUGAUAUCAAAGCCAAUACAUUCGCACCCCAAUCAUUAUAAGCCAUUUUCCUUUUAAUUUUGAUAAAUCCUUGAUGCCAUUGCAACGCUCUUCCUUCAAGAUGCAAGACUGCAAUGUUGACCUUUUCUUCCACCGCCACAUUAGCCACAUCAAGGAAAUAUUUGACUCUCCAGCCCUCCAACACCUCCCCAUUGAACACUGAAACUCCUGUUUUGUUGAUGGACCCCAAUUCUGUUUGGUGUUCCACCCCAUCUGACUACCACUAGAUCUUUCUUGGUCCACCAUUUCCUUCUCCUUUUCCGCAACCUUUUCUACAUUAUGCAAACUUAGCCCAUGCAAUGAGUACUUUAUUCUCAUCCAAAGCCCUCUAGUUCUUUGCCUCUGCUUCCUUA